rnacentral:rRNA from 1 species
UACGUAGGGGGCCAGCGUUGUUCGGAAUUACUGGGUGUAAAGGGUUCGUAGGCGGUGCGGCAAGUUGGGAGUGAAAUCUCUGGGCUUAACCCAGAGGCUGCUCUCAAAACUGCUGUGCUUGAGUGUGAGAGAGGCUCGUGGAAUUGCAGGUGUAGCGGUGAAAUGCGUAGAUAUCUGCAGGAACACCCGUGGCGAAAGCGGCGCGCUGGACCACUACUGACGCUGAGGAACGAAAGCUAGGGGAGCAAACAGG